rnacentral:rRNA from 1 species
UACGGAGGGNGCAAGCGUUNAUCGGAAUUACUGGGCGUAAAGCGCGCGUAGGCGGUUUUUUAAGUCGGAUGUGAAAGCCCCGGGCUCAACCUGGGAACUGCGAUCGAUACUGNNAGACUAGAAUGCGGGAGAGGGAGGUNGAAUUCCNUGUGUAGCNGUGAAAUGCGUAGAUAUAUGGAGGAANACCAGUGGCGAAGGCGGCCUCCUGGNNCGACAUUGACGCUGAGGUGCGAAAGCNUGGGGAGCAAACGGG